UACGAGGGGGGCAAGCGUUGUUCGGAAUUAUUGGGCGUAAAGGGCGCGUAGGCGGUGCGGUAAGUCACCUGUGAAAUCUCCGGGCUUAACUCGGAGUCUGCAGGCGAAACUGCCGUGCUGGAGUAUGGGAGAGGUGCGUGGAAUUCCCGGUGUAGCGGUGAAAUGCGUAGAUAUUGGGAAGAACACCGGUGGCGAAGGCGGCCAUCUGGCCCGUAAUUGACGCUGAGGCGCGAAAGCGUGGGGAGCAAACAGG
rnacentral:rRNA from 1 species